UGAGUGUGUGUGUGUGAGAAAGAGAACAGCCCCGCAGGUCCCGAGGCGCUGGCUGGGGACUCUGCUGCGGAAAGUUCCCAGUCCCCAGCCGCAGGUAAUGGGAAGGGAAUAGAGAGGUUCCCCUGUUUGCAUCAGCAAAUGCGAAAACAUAAUAGCAACAGCUGCGGUGUUAUCUCCGAGGAGCGGGAUUUCCAAUGAUGCUAACAUUCUUUUUCCUUUAAGGUAUUUUCCCUGUUACUGAUCAUGGAAAGAAAACACCGAGAAGGAAAAAGUUGCAUAGGGCCACUAAUUGGCAGGGGUUGCCCAAUUAAGGGACUGUAGCAGGGAUUGAGAGGACGUUUAAAAAAUGGCUAUAAUUUAGCAUGUGUCAAUCUAAGCCUGAGGGUCUGGAGGGAUCCUGUGGAAAGGAGCUAAACGGUUGGAAUGGGGUACAGAGGUGGGUCCUAAACAGCGGAGGGAUUUUGGAAUGACAGCUUCUAUAGACGUGCUUCUGCGUUAGACGUGCUUCUUGCCUCCCUAAAUGUAUAUACAUUUUUUUUUUUUACCAAAUAGAUAAUUUAUGUGGGACAUACAUUUGAGCUGAAAGUGCACUGAUGAAAGACUGAAGAGUUCCAUUUGAGCUACUGCCUAGGAGCCCGCCAUCCAAACGCUGGGCUCUGGAGCAAGGUCUCAGAGCACCACCCGGCGCUGCAAGGAUAGGAAGAUUCCCUAGCGGCUUUCUGCUAAUGAAUGACCCAAGAGUAACACCACCACAAUCUGCGGGAAAUGAUCUGCAGGGUUGAAAUGAGAUGUUUUGAGCUCUUCAAGCUGACUCAUCAGAAUCCAGGAGCCUAGUGAAAAUGAUGCACUACUCCCUGUGGCAGGAGGAAACAAAACAACAAUACAACAACAACAAAUACAACAACACAACCCAGAAAUACCUGAAGGACAUGAGAAGUGGGACGCUUUCCCCAGGAUACAGUUACUCCCUCCUACCUAGCUCUCUUCACUACUGAUGAUGGUGACUGAUGGAAAUUCUGGAAAUCGAAACUGAGGCUUGAAAAUUUCGGACCAUCUCUUUGAAAAUCUGUGUAACUAUCCUAAAUAUAUGACAUAUGGGACUCGCUACUUACUUGAAAGCAGAAAAAUGGAGUAUCUUAGAUGUUUUAUAACACAUCACUCUUUCAUAAAAUGGUAGAUUGCCAUAUCCACUUACAGAGGGGAAGAAACAUACAGGGAUUUGAGCUGGAAUUUAAUUUUAUCUAACUGUGUUUCUGUGUGAGCAAGAUUCAACCUCUUUGUGAUGGUGUGAUUUUUUUUUCAUAAAUCUGCAACUAAAAGAUCUCACAAAAACAACUAGAGGAGAAAACGUUUAUUUUGGUUUCAGAGGUCUGAGUCCAUAGAUGGAGGACUUCAUAACCUUGGGCCCAAGGCAUUUUAGUGGGAGUUUGGAAGAUUCUGGCAGAAACUGUUUUUGUAUCAUCAUUUUAAUGGUGCAUCAACUGUUUCACCUUGAACCCACUGAAGGUGCCUGUUAGGAACUCCAGCAGGAGCCUGUGGAUUUGUGAUGGCAAUGUUGGGAGCUGAGGGAACAUUCGUGAAGCAUGGCCUAGUAGGAGGUUCAUUUAUCUUUGUUGACAUACCACCAAAGGAGUCUAUGGGACCUUGCCCAUCUUUGUUUCCUGGCUCAUGAGGUUUCCUAUGGCGGAAAAUCUCAGAUGGCCACAAGAUGGUACACCACCUUUAAUAUUAUGUCUUUCUUCACUGAAUCCAAACCUAGGCUAAAAGGGAGAAGAGUUGACACUGCCUUCUUUGACUGUGAAGUUACCCUCAGAAUGGAGUUACUGCAGGUCUAGGCAACAUCAGCGAAGAACAUCAGAAAAGGAGGCUCCUCCACGACACUUUCACAGAGUCCUUUAUAGACCUGUGUUUUUUCUCUAAAAUGUUUAUGUGAGAAAGCAGUAAACUUCCAUCUUGGCUAAUGCACUAUUAUUUUGAGUUAUCUGUUACUAACAACCAAACUGGGAUGAAAAGUCGCCAAAUAUUUAUGCCAAGUUUUUACACAGAUAGAGAUUGCUACUCUACUAAAUCAAAAUUGAAUAAUAUAGGCCAUUUCUUCUUUUAGCAGAUUUUUUUUUUAAUUUUUUUACUAAUUCUCCUUGAAAGCACAGCUAUCUUUCUCCAUGACUCAAAUAUACUCUCUCUAAGCUAAUGCAUUCAAUAUUCAGUUUGGUGAUGUUGGGGAUGAACUAAAAAGAUACAAUUGCUUAUCACGUUGGAACUGCUAUCAAACCAUCACCCCCACCUCACCUUACACAUCCUCUCACUCCUUGAUAUUGGAUCUAAUCCAUCACAGUGAAGCCUGGCUUUUACAGGCAACUUUUUUAUCCUUUAGAUGUUGGAAACACAUGUAAUGCUUUAUUUUAUUUUUUAAGAUAUUUUUAAUUGUAGAUGGACACAAUACCUUUAUUUUUUUAUUUAUUUUUGUUGUUGUUUAUUUAUUUAUUUAUUUUUGGUACUGGGGAUUGAACUCAGUGACUCACACAUGCCAGGCAGCACUCUACCACUGACCCACAACCCCAGCCCCAUAUGUAAUGUUUACUUAUUUCUGCUAUUUUAUCAAUUAAUUUAUGUUAUUUUAUGUUUGGCUAAGGGUAGGUAUAAAGACAGUCUACUCAUAAAUUCAUGGCAAUCAGUAUUUGAUCUUAUAUAACUUUCAAAUUCAAAAUUAUAUUUCAUCUAUAUUUUUUAUGACAGUAAAAAAAUGAUUAGCAACAUAGGUGCAUAGAGGUUUCGAUAAUGAAUGCCAAAACUUAAAGAAAUAACAUGCAUAGUAUUUUUUCUAUUUUAUUUUUUUCUUUUAAAACACACUUAUUUUACACACAAAGACCACCAUGUAAUAUACACACACAUGACAUAUGUAAUAAGUAACAACAUAACUUUCAAUAUUAAUCAAUACCUAGUUUAUUAUAGUGAUGCAUUUUUGGAACUUAAUUUUAUAGAAAGAUGUACAUCUGUGGGUUGUCUUAACUUGGAUUUCUACAUGUAGAGAAGUGAAAUAUUUCAAUUUAUUUCUAGGCAUGUUGUGACAGAAAUAAAAAAGAACUUCUUAAUCUAGCCUUAGGGGUAUAGUUGGUGAGGUAAUUAAUUUAGUAUGUGUUGGUACAUAUUAUAGCACAAUUUAGGGCAGUAGAAAACAGGGUUAUAGCCUGUAUAAUUAGAUAAGACAUUUAUUAGGUUUACCUAAAUUCAAUGCCUUAAGAUUUAAAACAAUUGAAAUCAAGGAAGGAUAGAGGUAUAGCUCAGAUGCACAGUGAUUGCUUAGUAUGAGUGAGGCCCUGAUUCAAUCCCUAGCAUUCAAAAAUAAAAUAAAAUAAAAUAAUUGCAAAUUAUACCAUUGAUAAAAACUUGAUCUUAAAAGUAGCUUCAAGUUGAAAAAGCACAAUGACAAUUGAGAUGUUUUGAUCCCAAUCAUGAGACAUAAAUGUUCUAUAUAGAUGAUUGCAUAGUAGUUUAAAAUAUGCAUUAAACUGAUUUUAGUAUCAUAAAAGUAUUCAUUUUAUUGACAUUUAGAAAUUGCCCCAGUCUGGCUGGGCACAAAAAUCACGAGCCACUCACACCUUGUAGAUUCAAACAGCAACUCUUUAUUCUUGAACUGUCACUGGCACUCUACACAACACGUUCUGGGGAAAUCCACACCUCCACUGGGCUCUGUAUCCUAAAAUCUCUCUCAAUGGAACUCAAGGAGGGGGUGCCUGGAGGCAGCAGGAUAUGCCCUAUUCCCAGCAGGAUACACCUUAAGCCUGGAACCACCCUAAACCCAGAUCCGCCCUGGUCCUUGAGCAAGGUCACCUUACAUGCAAUGUCACUGCAAAUGACCUGGGUCAUGCCAUGCGUUAUUCCUACUUGGCAAUGGCUCUCAGCAAGAAAUUGCAACAUAAAUGUUUUGCAUUAUUUCUUGAUGUUAUUUUAAUAAGAUUUAUGCUAUUGCUAAGUAUUGAUUAAUUGAACAGUGCUAAUGCUAUGCAUACAGAUAUGCUAUACAAUUUUCUUGAUAUGAGACAUAUUCACACAAAAAUAUUAUGUCUAAAGACAUUUUUUAAAAUUUGUACAAUCUUUUUUUGUGUGUGUAAAAUAAACUUCUGACCUAUUUUAUGACUAUCAUGAUUUAAAUUUUCUAAAUAAACACCCAAGCACAUAGUGGGAUCAUGGAAAUAGAUCAAGCCAUUUGGCAGAGAUCCUUAUACUGAUUGUGCCUGUCUUUAUUGCAAGUAUAGGGAAAUUUUAUCAAGUUGGGUAGUUUUUACUGCUCCACAGAUGUUUUGCAGAGCAAAGAGUUUAAAAUAAAUAAAAUAACUUAUUCCCCUAGGAAAAAAGAAAGAAAGUUACACUUGAAGACAGUUGUUUGACUAUCACACAGGGAAAUUCCCAAGGAAGCUCUGAUUUUGAGUCAACUGCAUGCUGAAUUACCCACUCAUUUGUCAAUCAUAUGAAUGCAAGUGACUCCACUCGUUCAUUCAGUCAUCUGAAUGUUGUGUGACCCCCUGAGGGUGGACUUAUUCUUUGGUUAACUAGAGUAUUGCCUUUUCCAAUCAAAUGAUAAUAAAAUAUCUGUAGCCAAACAGGAUGUGAUGCCAGGAAGAUCCAGGGUUGGAGCCAGCAGAAUGUACACCACUUCCCCAUACCUAUGGUUGAGCUGGAUCCAGCAAGAUUCCUGCAAUUAAGCACUGCCUGUCAGGAUGAGGAAUCUGAAGUUUGCCGAAGUCCACGCACUGAGUACGUGGGAAAGCCAGGGCUACACCCAGAGAGACUGACUCCACGGCAGUGACUCACAUGGCAAAUGUGAUUCUCAGAUUUGAAGGAACAUCAGAAUAACUUACAAGACUGUUCAGAUACAGAUUCUUGGGCCUUGCUUCUCAAGUCUUUGGUUCAGUAAGCCUGGAUGGAACAAAAGACUUUGCAUUUCUAACAGCUCCUGAAUGAUGCUGAUGUUGUUGGUCUGGGGAACCUGCUUUGAGAAAUACCAAUGUGCUAUGAAGAAGCUGUUCUUCAUAAAAAAGGAAGAGUUAUGGGAAUGCUAAGGCCUCUUUGUCAUCCACUCAAUACGCAAGUGUAACAGUUAAUGAACCAUUGCUGCGAUAAUGCUGCAUGAACCCUUAAAAUAGUACGCACAUACUUUGUUGAUGUCCAUUGUGAGUCAUCAGGAACAUUCCUGUCUUAGGGUGCAGUGUGAGCAAGUGGACAGGCUUCAAGCUUCAAAUCAGGGUCCAGUCUAGUUCCUGGGUCGAUUCUAAGGCCCAGAUUGAAGGGACAUGGGUCCAAUUACAGAACCUUAUGGACUGCUCAGUUCACUUCCUAUAGAAGCCAAAUAUUUUACCCCUGGCUUUGAGUUUCUGUCUUAGGAACGCACUGUUGCCUCCCUGGCCCAUUGUCCCCUACUCUUGCCUCUUCCUCACACUGCAGCCGCUUUUGUGCUGGCCUCUUAUGAUGCCAAGUAUAUUCCCUGCUUGGAGUCCUCUGGUGUGCUGUGCAUGCCCUUCCCUUGAUUAGUUCUCCAGUAUCUACAAUUCUUGCUCCGAUAUUACAUAUAAGUCAGUUGGGCCUUUUGAUACUACACUGUGAAAAAUUCUUUCAACCAAGGUACCCAAUCCUUCCCUAAUAUGGUCCCACAGGAUAUUUUAUCACUUUCUAACAAACUACAUAACUCAUUUAUUUUGCCUUUUGUUUAUUUCUUCAAACUAAAAUGUAAAUUCAAUAAAAAUAAGGGUUUUCUUUUGUUUAUUGAUAUUAUUCAGUGUUUAGAACUAUAAA